rnacentral:rRNA from 1 species
GUGGGGAAUUUUGGACAAUGGGCGCAAGCCUGAUCCAGCAAUGCCGCGUGCAGGAAGAAGGCCUUCGGGUUGUAAACUGCUUUUGUACGGAACGAAACGGUCCGGGUUAAUACCCUGGGCUAAUGACGGCACCGUAAGAAUAAGCACCGGCUAACUACGUGCCAGCAGCCGCGGUAAUACGUAGGGUGCAAGCGUUAAUCGGAAUUACUGGGCGUAAAGCGUGCGCAGGCGGUUUUGUAAGACAGGCGUGAAAUCCCCGGGCUCAACCUGGGAAUUGCGCUUGUGACUGCAAGGCUGGAGUGCGGCAGAGGGGGAUGGAAUUCCGCGUGUAGCAGUGAAAUGCGUAGAUAUGCGGAGGAACACCGAUGGCGAAGGCAAUCCCCUGGGCCUGCACUGACGCUCAUGCACGAAAGCGUGGGGAGCAAACAGGAUUAGAUACCCCGGUAGUCC